CCGGGACCUACAAAGGAAGUCUAAACUGGAGUUGGGGGUGCUCCGGCAAGACCCUCCGAUGCUCAAGUCAGUUCUCUGCCUCAACAAGAAUGGACUGCUCGAACGAAAAUUUUAGCAGAAUUUUGGGAUAGAAAUUAGAGCUUAGAGAGUAACGUAUCUGGGGCCCCCUUUUUAUAGGCGGAGGGAGCAACGGAUUGAUAGCGACGUUUGUAACUGCCUAGUAGUGGGCCGCUCAGGGCCAGGAGAAAUUUAUUAUGAAGAGUAAUGGGGUG
rnacentral:lncRNA from 1 species